rnacentral:rRNA from 1 species
GGGGAAUUUUGGACAAUGGGGGAAACCCUGAUCCAGCCAUUCCGCGUGAGUGAAGAAGGCCUUCGGGUUGUAAAGCUCUUUCAGCAGGAACGAAACGGCAGGCUUUAAUACAGCCUGCUAAUGACGGUACCUGCAGAAGAAGCACCGGCUAACUACGUGCCAGCAGCCGCGGUAAUACGUAGGGUGCGAGCGUUAAUCGGAAUUACCGGGCGUAAAGCGUGCGCAGGCGGCGGCAUAAGACAGAUGUGAAAUCCCCGGGCUCAACCUGGGAACUGCGUUUGCGACUGUGCUGCUAGAGUGUAGCAGAGGGGGGUGGAAUUCCACGUGUAGCAGUGAAAUGCGUAGAGAUGUGGAGGAACACCGAUGGCGAAGGCAGCCCCCUGGGUUAACACUGACGCUCAUGCACGAAAGCGUGGGGAGCAAAC